rnacentral:rRNA from 1 species
UACGUAGGGUGCAAGCGUUGUCCGGAAUUAUUGGGCGUAAAGAGCUCGUAGGCGGUUUGUCGCGUCUGCUGUGAAAACUCGGGGCUUAACUCCGGGCCUGCAGUGGGUACGGGCAGACUAGAGUGCGGAAGGAGGCGAGUGGAAUUCCUGGUGUAGCGGUGAAAUGCGCAGAUAUCAGGAGGAACACCAGUUGCGAAGGCAGGCUCGCUGGGACGUACUGACGCUGAGACGACGAAGCGUGGGAGCAAACAGG